rnacentral:lncRNA from 1 species
UCGAAGUUAAUUGAGUAUUGGCAGCAUGGUCUAGCAUCUUUGAGGUUGCUGAGUUUAGCCCUCUGGUACAACAAGGACAAGGAAUUUAUAAAUGUUUAGGUUACAUAUUUUUAAGCAUCCAGCCUUUGUCGGUAGUGAAUUCAGUAUGCUUAAUAAUAAUAACUUGCCAUGUCAAAGACGUAAUAUUUGAUAAGUUUUGGUUUAACCUACAAGUAAUUGCCAACGGAAAUCUGUUGCUUCUUAUGCGCUAAACCUACUGUGACUUUCUACAAUGUAGGUUAACCAAUUAAUUGAACCACAAGGAUAGAGAUCUACACUCUAUUCAACAAUUUUCUCGAGAAGUUUGAUUUGUAUUCGAUAUUUCAUGGACUUAAAUAAUCUCUAUCCGUAAACACAUUGGUUUCUUUCAUCUAGUGAACCCAGGUAAUAAGUGAAGAUGAAUAUUACAUGUGUAUAUUACUUUUUCCUCUGUCGUUAGAUUAUGUUCAGAAUAUUUCUGAUAUUUUUUUGGAAUGCUAGGACUAUCACAUGUAAAAAAGAACUUUAAAUCACAAAAAUGUUGAUUUCUUUUACUAAUGAUCUUAGAGGAUUAGCUUAAGUACCAUACAGAGGAUGACACAAAUGGUAAUGAACACAUCGUGGAUCUUGCAUUAAUUUUCUUAUUCUAGCAGUACAAUUUGUGCAGGGAAGUCAUUCAUUUGUCAUGCCAUGGAAGUAUCGUUUGAAGUUUCCUUGCUGUCAAGACUUUUUUUUCAACAUAUAUGAGGUGGCAAGCAAAGUUAUGGUAACUGCAGUUCAUGUCAGGUAUAAUGUGAAACGUAGGUCCAUCAUCUCAUCAUCCUUUACGCCCUUUCUUUCCCUAAUAUUUUACAGCAAACCAACGGAUCAGCUAACCACAACCUUAGUAUGUGGUAUACUGCGUAAAUAUCUAGCUUGGUAGAAAGCAUGGUCAGUAGAGCGUUUUCUAACCAUGCACUAGUAGUGCCCACUCCAUGCUACUGUUAUGUACACAGACGAGAAGUUUGUUUGAGAAAGAGUAUGCUUGCUGCCUUUCAUCUAAUAUCAUAUGUUUCUGUUUCCUAUGAGAAACUGAUGGUUCACGUCUCUAACUUCUACUGCUUUAUAGUUUUGCACAAAAGCUUUUGUAACCAUGAUGUUGAUAUACCUAUGAUUGUUACUUCAUGUGCUACUACAUUAGUAGGGAGAUUUUUAUAAAGGUACCAGAAUUUAUCUUCUUCCACAUUAAGUCAAUAUUUAGUAACGGAGUUCUAUUUUUGUUUGCAAACUAGUUCAUUUGUCGCAAGGAAUAAAAUCUACUCUGGAUAGUUGAUUUAGUGUUUCUUGAACAUGGCCAGGGCAAUGGAUAAAAUCUACUCUGGAUAGUUGACAGAGGGAGUACAUGCUAAGUUGACUUUUGCCUGUGGAUUUGCUUAUCAUGAAGAUGGUUGCAAGGAUGCAGAGGGAGCAGAUCAUUUGGAGAGAUAGGAUGCCACUGUUUGGUGUUUUUAUGCAUUUUAGUUUGCUUGUAACUGUGUUUGCACUAGCUGGGAGUAAGUGACUUCAAGAAGUGUAGGUGUUUUAAUUGAAGGCAUGAAAAGCCACGACAAUAUGUAUGCUCUUACAGGAUGUGCUCUAAUACCGCCGGUUUAUUAUAAAUCUUGGAUUAGUAAUGAUGUGUAAUGCUGCUGGUUUAUUGCAAAUAUGUGUUUGUUUUAUUUGGAAUUGUAUGCAUAGAAUGGAAUUGGU